rnacentral:rRNA from 1 species
UACGUAGGUGGCAAGCGUUGUCCGGAUUUAUUGGGUUUAAAGGGUGCGUAGGCGGUUCUAUAAGUCAGUGGUGAAAUCUCGCAGCUUAACUGUGAAAUUGCCAUUGAUACUGUAGGGCUUGAGUACAGAUGCCGUUGGCGGAAUAUGACAUGUAGUGGUGAAAUACAUAGAGAUGUCAUAGAACACCGAUUGCGAAGGCAGCUGACGAAACUGUAACUGACACUGAGGCUCGAAAGUGCGGGGAUCAAACAGG